AAAAAAAAAAAAAAUAGAUUUCUAGACGUAGAUUGCGUCUUUACUUCUUCUUCUUCCAACGCGCAACGGCAAACACAAAAUUGAUUAUCCAAGCGUCUCUUGCUCUCUCUAAAGUCCCAAACCUUGAAACCCAGCAAAUUUUUUCUUUAAAUUGGUUUCAAUGGUUACUCAAUUCUUUAGUUCAUUCUCAUCCAUCACCCAAUCUUUUUCCUCUCUAUGUUUCUAUUAUUCUACGGUGAUCAUACGAAUUUUUCAGCUUUCCAUCGAUGUAGGCUGAGGUCAAAUCAAAAUAGUUAUUGGGUGUUCUGUUCUUCAAAUUUGAUAUCCAAUGAAAAUUUGGAUAUCAAAAGCCUUGUCACUUGUUUUCUGAGUUCUGUUGAUUUUUAACAACUUGCUCAUUCAUUGGUUUCAAUUUUCAAUAUUAGGUGCAAUUGGAAGUUGGAAUUGCAAGUCAAUCUCGAUCAGAAAAGAAAGAACAAGAAGGAAAAAAGCAAAUUCCAGAUUUUUGGGUAUUGUUCUAUGCUCCAGUGUUUAUCAAUUCACUACAAGAAAUUUGGGUAUAUGCAACCGAUUUAUAUGCAAGGAGUCAAAAUUCCUUGCAAUUGGUUGAUUUAUACAAAGAAUUUUGUGAAUCCUUGCAUCUGGCUCUUUGAGUUUGCAAGGAAUGCAAUAAUUCCUUAUACUUGGUCUUCUCAAAUCUAAAAAAUGAGCCUUUAUCACUCGACUAACUCUAGUUAGAAAAAGAAGAAACAAAAGUUCUUUCUGGUCCUUCUAGAUCGAUGAAGAAUACACCCAAAACACCAAAUUCCCAAAUCCAACUAUCAGUGGCGAAUCUGGAACUCAUGAACACUCUCACUCCAACUCAAUCCCAAAAGUCAACAACGCCAGGUUCUCCAUCUCUCCUGUCGUUAUUGCCACCCAUCUCUGCUUUCUUGCUCGCUCGCACUCACUCAAUUAGUUGGGGCCUUCUUUAUCGCUCGCACUAGCUCGCAAGGUUGAAUUGUUCUGGUGAUGCCGAUUGAAAUUACUCGUGAAUGUGUAUCCGAGGUAUUGUAGCAUUUAUAGAUCCCCCCAUUUAAGAUGUUCAGAAUGUUAAUAGUUAAAAGAGAUCGAGGGUCGCUUAGUUUUCCAUAAUGGUUGGCAGAGUUUUGCAAAGCAUCAUUUUCUGGAAGUUGGGGAUUUCUUGACUUUCACUAAAGAUGGUGGAUCAAUUUUUGAUGUCAUAAUUUAUGGUAAAAGCUACUGCAAGAAUAAUGUUGAAGCACCAAGAGCAGGAUUGGCAAUGUUGUGGACAGAACAAUUAAUAAACAACCACGUCAUUUUAGGAAAGAGACCUGCACUUGAUCUUGUUGAAGAAACAUCUAUUGGAUCCGUCUCCUUCAAUCCGGAGAAUCCAUUUUUUACUACUUUUUUUUCAUGCUUUUCCCUAUUUUAAUUGCAGAGAAUUCCAACCAGAGUAGUCAUAGUUGCAGGUCUUAUGAGCAAUGAAACCAUAAUGCUUCAAGAUCCAGCUGGGAGGCCAUGGUCUAUUAAACUCAAAGAAACAACAAGGGGUCAAUUUGCGUAUGGAAGGCUGGUGUAAUAUUUGUAAAGAGAACCAAAUUUCAUUUGGAGACACCCUUGUUAUUGAGGUAGUCAAGAUAGUUGUGGUGGGGCUGAGAAGAACCAAGCUGGGAAGAAGAAAGAGAGUGUAUGGAGCUUGAAGAAAGACCAUCCUUUUUCAAGGUCCUUGUUGGUGACUUCUCCCAGCAACUGAUGAGAUCAAAUUAGGUAGUUUUGAUAUGGGCUGAGCAUGGUCAUAGCUAUUUGCCAUUCAGAACACAAACAAGUAGUAACUCCAGCAGGUGUGCUCAUUUUGUGUCUACCAGCCUAUUUUUAUUGCUUAUAAUUUCGUGCAUUUCUUUGUGAAACACUGAAUAUGGGAGCUUCUUGACAUAUACAUAGCAUUUUGCUGAUACGUACUUUUGUUUCCAUUGUUCCUUUAGCUGAUCAUGAAAGUUCAAUUCUAGAGAUAAAAAUAGCAUUAUGAUAAAAUGUGCAGAUGCCUCUUCUUUGAGUUGACCUUUUGAGCAGACAAUUUAAAAUCCUUGGGGUUUAUGGAUAUCAAUAUUGCUUUGUCGAUUCAUAUGUAGAAAACCUGCCCUUACUUGACAAGACACAUGCUGUUUCUUACCAGGAGAGAAGUUGUAAGAUGGCUACUGCACUUAGAGCAGAACAUUACAUUCAAGUACAUUUAUUGUUAUUUGUUUCUUCUAUUUUUUCUUUGUUGGUUUUGUGAUUUUAUUUACUGUAUAAUACACACUAAGAAUACUUUCAUGGGUUGUAGUAAACACUUUAAGAAUCACACAUUAAAAUUUUCUUAAGGGCACAUUAGAAACAUAUACAAAGUAUGUCUGCAUCAUUUAUUAGUCGAUGAACUCUAAGUCCAAACAAGAUUUGAACUAGUUGCCCAUUACCAGGAAUGAUAUAAUAUUGAAUUGAUGUUUUUAUAUCACUAUAGUCUAGCAACAGAUGUUUGUUAGUAUAUUUUAAGUUAAUGAAGCUCACAAUUGGUAAUGCUUUCAUAUUUGGUCUGGUGCAAGGCCUAGCAUACUGGUAAAUGGGAAUUGAUGAGCAGAUUGCUUCCAAAGUUUCAAGAGUAUGAAGUUUGUGGACUGCAUUAGAUCCUUUAAAAGAGAUAAAAAAAGCUCUCUAUCAAAUUUUCAAUGGUAGAGAUCCAAAUGAAAAAAAGUAAAGAAUCGACUAACAUUACGAUCCUAUAGAACAUAGACAAAGUAGCUGGAGAAAGCUGCACUAUUUGAUGAGUAUUUUGUUAACAGAAAGCUGUCCAAAUGUUGAUUUCUACUCUAGUUCAGAUAUAGAGCAAUCAGAUUUCCAACGGAGUUCUUCCCAAUUUUGUUUGCAAUCCCUCGAAUGGCUGGUUACAUGGCACACUGGAGAAUCCCUGGGUGAUUCUGAUACUAAGAUCAUGAGGUCUGCACAGGUAUAUAUUGGGGAGUGGCUCCGGCACUAUAUGCCAUUGAAAGAACGGACACUAAGCAAAGAUGCAGACAAAUUGUCUCAAGUUUCUGUUUCAAACACCUCUAAGCGUCAUUUGUCUGAAUCUGGAACUAGAAGUGUUAUGUGGUUAAGUGAAAUACUGCUAAAUUGCAAUUUUUGAUGUACAAACAAACUAAUUAAUUAUUUUUAAUUCAAUGAAUAAAAAAAAAUCUGGAA